CUGUGGAGAGAAACCGGGAUUAGAUACCCCGUUAUCCACAGUGUAAAAUAGGAUUUCUAGGCGACUAAGGGUUGGUUCUUAAAAGUCAAAUGAAUUGGCGGGUCGACAGGAAACGUACAGGGGAAUCUGGGUGUUAAAGGACGAUCCGCCUACAUUUGCCCUUUUACUUAAUUUCUGCAUAUGUAUGGUUGUUUUGUAACUUAGCUUCGUAAGGGUUGGGUGUAAGGUUUUGCUUAUUUAUAUUCGUUAAUCUAGUUAAUAAUAUUAGUUUAGUUUAAACGAUUUUUAUUAGUAGAAAAGUAUUCAGAUUGACAUGUAGCUAUUGUAAAAGUUAGCCUGGAUGACAGUUGAAAAUGACAACACGCUAGUCGAAUAAAAAUGCUAAAGCAUUUUUUGAAGGAGGACUUGUAAGUAAGGAUGUUAAAUAAUAACAUGUUGAACGUAGUGCGGCAGUACAGAUCGCCCGUCGCUCCCGGAGAGAUUUGGGAUAAGUCGUAACAAGGUAACGGUACGGGAACGUGUCGUUAACUCAGAAGGUGUUAUAAGUAAUAAAUAUAAAUUUGGUGUAUAUUUUAAGAGUACUUUUAAUACAAUUUUUUCGUAGCGACGAGUAUAAUAUUUAUGAGAAAUUAAUAUUAAUUCUUGUAGUAUUAUUAUUAUUAUCGUUAUUAUUAUUUUUAAUUAUAUUUUUUGAUUUAAAGCAUAAACUUAGAAACAGUGAUCUUUUUCCGCCUGAUAAGCUUGAAAAAAGUUUUCUUAAUUUUUUUGUUUUAAUCUUGUUUAUUGUAAAAACAGUUUUGUUUUUAUUGAUCUUAUUUGUUUUGUGGUGUUUUCAUUAGUCAAC
rnacentral:rRNA from 1 species